UACGUAGGGUGCGAGCGUUGUCCGGAAUUAUUGGGCGUAAAGAGCUUGUAGGCGGUCUGUCGCGUCUGCUGUGAAAAUCCGGGGCUCAACCCCGGACUUGCAGUGGGUACGGGCAGACUGGAGUGUGGUAGGGGAGACUGGAAUUCCUGGUGUAGCGGUGGAAUGCGCAGAUAUCAGGAGGAACACCGAUGGCGAAGGCAGGUCUCUGGGCCACUACUGACGCUGAGAAGCGAAAGCAUGGGGAGCGAACAGG
rnacentral:rRNA from 1 species